GAUGAAGAACGUAGCGAAAUGCGAUAAGUAAUGUGAAUUGCAGAAUUCAGUGAAUCAUCGAAUCUUUGAACGCACACUGCGCCCCCUGGUAUUCCGGGGGGCAUGCCUGUUCGAGCGUCAUUUCACCACUCAAGCCUCGCUUGGUAUUGGGCAACGCGGUCCGCCGCGUGCCUCAAAUCGACCGGCUGGGUCUUCUGUCCCCUAAGCGUUGUGGAAACUAUUCGCUAAAGGGUGUUCGGGAGGCUACGCCGUAAAACAACCCCAUUUCUAAGGUUGACCUCGGAUCAGGUAGGGAUACCCGCUGAACUUAAGCAUAUCAUAAGCGGAGGA
rnacentral:misc_RNA from 1 species